GGUCCCUAUCCCUGACCAGCAGCGUGGACACGUCGGUGGAGAUCAACAGCUCCGACAGCGACGACUGCACUGCUCUGGGAACGCUGGAGUUCGAGCUGAGGUACGAGCAGAGCUCCAACAAGCUGCACUGCACCGUGCUGCGGGCCAAGGGUCUGAAGCCGAUGGACUUCAACGGUUUAGCUGACCCGUACGUCAAACUGCACCUGCUGCCCGGAGCCUGUAAGG